UUCGUAGGCGGUGCGGCAAGUCGGAAGUGAAAUCCCUGGGCUUAACUCAGGGGCUGCUCCCGAAACUGCCGUGCUCGAGUGCGGGAGAGGCGAGUGGAAUUGCAGGUGUAGCGGUGAAACGCGUAGAUAUCUGCAGGAACACCCGUGGCGAAGGCGGCUCGCUGGACCGCAACUGACGCUGAGGAACGAAAGCUAGGGGAGCAAACAGGAUUAGAUACCCUGGUAGUCCUAGCCCUAAACCAUCAGGACUUGGGGUGCAUCCCGUUCGGGGUGCGUCCCGGAGCUAACGCGUUAAGUCCUGCGCCUGGGGAGUACGGUCGCAAGGCUGAA
rnacentral:rRNA from 1 species